rnacentral:lncRNA from 1 species
GUGUAGGGUUGUUCUAUGACCAUUUCAUUCUUGAGAGUCAUAAUUGAUUGUUCAAAAAAAGUUAUAGAGACAUUAAAACUUCUAGCUACGUAUUGUCUCUUAGGAUCACUCUCGGGCUGACUAGACAGCUCUCCUUCUUCCUCUCUAUUAGAUGCGAUUACUAGUUGAUCCAUUUGGAUCUCUAGCUUAAUAAUGGAUUGCAUGUGGGAG